UCAAUAGUAUCCGGAUCCGGAGUAAUUCUUUUUGGGGACGGGUUGGGGUUAAAGAUGAAUUAAGUUAUUAAGUUAAUUAAUAUCUACAUGUUUUUUGACGAAAUAUAUGAUUAACAUUUAUCGAUGAUGGUUAUUAUAAAGCAUUACAUGGGUUUGGUUCUGCCUUGUAUCACACACACAUAUGAACCGACAUAAAAGAGAUAGUAAAAGGCUUCAUACUAACACGCUCAGGUAACUUGACAACACAAUUUCGUGAUACAGUUAUUGCAUGGUGUCCCUUUUUCCUGUUAUUUCAUCAUUCAAUUGCCAUUAUUUAAUCAAACUAAGGUAAUUCUUAUUUAUAAAUUUGUUGUGUCAUCUAUAGUCUGCGAAUAAUUCCCACAUACCAGACAAAAUUUGAGGUUCUUUAAACGGAUUCUGGAAUUUCAUGAAAUGUAUUAAUAACAUCCAAUGAAACUGUACAUUUCUUCUUAUUUAACAUGCAACUUUCAGUCUUAUCAAUCAAUGCUUUACAAUCCGUUCUACAUUUUUAAAUAUUAAUAUGUCGAAUCCAACCAAUAUUGACGAGUUUACCAGUGACAAUAUGGAUAUAGAAACACAUGGCUUAGAUUGUCAAAUAAAAACAGAAAUUGGCAUCGUGAAUGACAAAUACAAAGUUAUUGCUAUUUUUAUGGUAUGUCAAUGCGGUUUGAAAAAGAGAAACGUUCAUAAAGAGUUUAAGGAACAAGGAUCAACUUAUCUAGGUGAAAGCAUAGACCUACACAUUAUCGGAAAACACUGUACAUACGAUACGAAGAAAGUAUCACCUUUCAAGCUGAAAUUUUUGCGACGUUGUUAUUGUAGAGAUGAAUCAUACUCAUAUUCAAGAUAAUGCUACAAGUAAAAAGGUAUAAUGAAGAAGCGUGACAAAAAGUUCAAAAUGAAUGUUGUGUUGACAAAUGCCAAGACGAAGCUGAGUUACCAUCCAAAAAAUAUUUACUUCAUCUGCAACUGAACCGGAGUUUGAUUUCUUUCGGCACAUUUAAAGGCUGUGAUCUAGAUUAAAAAAAUGUAUUCAAAAUAUGGUUGAACCAAUAGUUGCACAGUUUUACAGAUAUUUACAAAGUGAAGAUGGAAAAAAGAACAAAUUUUUAAAAGACUUUUCGAAAGUACACCAACGUUUUCAAUUGACGUUUUAAUUUGUAUUUGUUAUAAUUAAAAGAAUAAGUAUUUAUUGAAAAAAAUCUGUUAUUAUUGUAGUAAAGAGUAUAUGUCUAUUGAAUCUUGAUAAAAUUUAAAUACCAAGGAAGCUAGUGAUUUUGUACCAUUGCUAUUUGUACCCAAAAUGACAAUUUCGUACCUUAAACUUUCCAUUUUGUUCACAUGAACAAAGCCAUAUUGUAUCACAUUUGACAGCUGCAUAUACCAUUUCGUACGUGUUUAGUAUUUCAUAUCAUAUAUAGCAUAUCGUUAAAAUUUUGUACUAACAUCGGAUCUGUGAUAUUGUGAAAUAAAGGUUUAUCUUAAAACAAAAAA